CGGGAGGCAGCAGUGGGGAAUUUUGGACAAUGGGGGAAACCCUGAUCCAGCCAUGCCGCGUGAGUGAAGAAGGCCCUAGGGUCGUAAAGCUCUUUCGCCUGUGAUGAUAAUGACAGUAGCAGGUAAAGAAACCCCGGCUAACUCCGUGCCAGCAGCCGCGGUAAUACGGAGGGGGUUAGCGUUGUUCGGAAUUACUGGGCGUAAAGCGCGCGUAGGCGGAUUAGAAAGUUGGGGGUGAAAUCCCGGGGCUCAACCCCGGAACUGCCUUCAAAACUCCCAGUCUAGAGUUCGAGAGAGGUGAGUGGAAUUCCGAGUGUAGAGGUGAAAUUCGUAGAUAUUUGGAGGAACACCAGUGGCGAAGGCGGCUCACUGGCUCGAUACUGACGCUGAGGUGCGAAAGUGUGGGGAGCAAACAGGAUUAGAUACCCUGGUAGUCCACGCCCUAAACGAUGUCUAUUAGUUGUUGGGUCUUCAUUGACUUAGUAACGAAGCUAACGCGUGAAAUAGACCGCCUGGGGAGUACGGCCGCAAGGUUAAAACUCAAAUGAAUUGACGGGGGCCCGCACAAGCGGUGGAGCAUGUG
rnacentral:rRNA from 1 species